UACGUAGGUGGCAAGCGUUGUCCGGAUUUACUGGGCGUAAAGAGCGCGCAGGCGGUCGUUCAAGUCGCGUGUGAAAGCCCCCGGCUCAACUGGGGAGGGUCACGCGAUACUGAUCGACUCGAAGGCAGGAGAGGGAAGUGGAAUUCCCGGUGUAGUGGUGAAAUGCGUAGAUAUCGGGAGGAACACCAGUGGCGAAGGCGGCUCACUGGCCCGAUACUGACGCUGAGGCGCGAAAGCGUGGGGAGCAAACAGG
rnacentral:rRNA from 1 species